rnacentral:rRNA from 1 species
GAUGAACGCUGGCGGUAUGCUUAACACAUGCAAGUCGAACGGUGGCUUCGGACAUAGUGGCGGACGGGGGAGUAACGCGUGAGAAGCUAACGAUGUGUUCGGGACAACCACUGGAAACGGUGGCUAACACCGGAUAAGCUGUAAAGUGAAAGAUUAAUUUACAAUUGAAGAGCCCGCGUCUGAUUAGCGAGUUGGUGGGGUAAGAGCCUACCAAGGCGUCGAUCAGUAGCGGGGCUGAGAGGACGAGCAGCCACACCGGGACUGGGCCACGGCCCAGACUCCUACGGGAUGCAGCAGUGGGGAAUGUUCCGCAAUCGGCGAAAGGCUGACGGAGCAAUAACGGGUGAGGGAGGAAGUCACUUGAGUUGUAAUCCGCUAUUAUUUGGGAAGAUAAUGACGGUACCAGAGCAGUAAGCAUCGGCUAACUACGUG